AACUUUCGACAAUGGAUCUCUUGGUUCCGGCAUCGAUGAAGAACGCAGCGAAAUGCGAUAACUAAUGUGAAUUGCAGAAUUCAGUGAAUCAUCGAGUCUUUGAACGCACAUUGCGCCCCCUGGUAUUCCGGGGGGCAUGCCUGUCCGAGCGUCAUUGCUGCCCUCAAGCACGGCUUGUGUGUUGGGCUCCGUCCCCCCGGGGACGGGCCCGAAAGGCAGCGGCGGCACCGAGUCCGGUCCUCGAGCGUAUGGGGCUUUGUCACCCGCUCUGUAGGCCCGGCCGGCGCCAGCCGACAACCCAUCAUCCUUUUCAGGUUGACCUCGGAUCAGGUAGGGAUACCCGCUGAACUUAAGCAUAUCAAUAAGCGGAGGCU
rnacentral:misc_RNA from 1 species